rnacentral:rRNA from 1 species
GACGAACGCUGGCGGCGUGCCUAACACAUGCAAGUCGAACGGAAAGGCCCUGCUUUUGUGGGGUGCUCGAGUGGCGAACGGGUGAGUAACACGUGAGUAACCUGCCCUUGACUUUGGGAUAACUUCAGGAAACUGGGGCUAAUACCGGAUAGGAGCUCCUGCUGCAUGGUGGGGGUUGGAAAGUUUCGGCGGUUGGGGAUGGACUCGCGGCUUAUCAGCUUGUUGGUGGGGUAGUGGCUUACCAAGGCUUUGACGGGUAGCCGGCCUGAGAGGGUGACCGGCCACAUUGGGACUGAGAUACGGCCCAGACUCCUACGGGAGGCAGCAGUGGGGAAUAUUGCACAAUGGGCGGAAGCCUGAUGCAGCAACGCCGCGUGCGGGAUGACGGCCUUCGGGUUGUAAACCGCUUUCGCCUGUGACGAAGCGUGAGUGACGGUAAUGGGUAAAGAAGCACCGGCUAACUACGUGCCAGCAGCCGCGGUGAUACGUAGGGUGCGAGCGUUGUCCGGGUUUAUUGGGCGUAAAGGGCUCGUAGGUGGUUGAUCGCGUCGGAAGUGUAAUCUUGGGGCUUAACCCUGAGCGUGCUUUCGAUACGGGUUGACUUGAGGAAGGUAGGGGAGAAUGGAAUUCCUGGUGGAGCGGUGGAAUGCGCAGAUAUCAGGAGGAACACCAGUGGCGAAGGCGGUUCUCUGGGCCUUUCCUGACGCUGAGGAGCGAAAGCGUGGGGAGCGAACAGGCUUAGAUACCCUGGUAGUCCACGCUGUAAACGGUGGG